rnacentral:pre_miRNA from 1 species
UAAGUACUUCCUCCGUCCGGAAAUACUUGUCAUUGAAAUGGAUGUAUCUAGAUGUAUUUUAGUUGUAGAUACAUCCAUUUUCAUCCAUUUUGAUGACAAGUAUUUCCGGACGGAGGGAGUAGUUA